rnacentral:rRNA from 1 species
UACAGAGGUCCCAGGCGUUGUUCGGAUUCAUUGGGCGUAAAGGGUGCGUAGGCGGCGCGGUAAGUCGGGUGUGAAAUCUCGGAGCUUAACUCCGAAACUGCAUUCGAUACUGCCGUGCUUGAGGACUGGAGAGGAGACUGGAAUUUACGGUGUAGCGGUGAAAUGCGUAGAUAUCGUAAGGAAGACCAGUGGCGAAGGCGGGUCUCUGGACAGUUCCUGACGCUGAGGCACGAAGGCCAGGGGAGCAAACGGG